CCUUCACCUUUCACUCAACUGCAUUCUCAUGUUCCAAAAUCACCCAUCACCUACACCCUCAUCUUUUUUUAUCAUGAUUAUGUUUAUAAGCCAAAAUUUAAGUUUUUAACCUUAAUUUUAUAGUUAUUUUGAGAUUUAUUCAUCAUAGUUUAUUUUUUAGUCUUGACUUUUCGAUCACUAAGAACACGUAUAUAAAAAUU
rnacentral:lncRNA from 1 species